rnacentral:rRNA from 1 species
UACGUAGGGGGCAAGCGUUGUCCGGAAUCAUUGGGCGUAAAGAGCGUGUAGGCGGCUUGGUAAGUCCGCUGUGAAAGUCCAGGGCUCAACCCUGGAAUGCCGGUGGAAACUGUCAAGCUUGAGUCCGGAAGAGGCGAGUGGAAUUCCGGGUGGAGCGGUGAAAUGCGUAGAGAUCCGGAAGAACACCUGUGGCGAAAGCGGCUCACUGGACCAUAACUGACGCUGAUGCACGAAAGCUAGGGGAGCAAACAGG